AGAGUUUGAUCAUGGCUCAGAUUGAACGCUGGCGGCAGGCUUAACACAUGCAAGUCGAGCGGGGGAAGGUAGCUUGCUACUGGACCUAGCGGCGGACGGGUGAGUAAUGCUUAGGAAUCUGCCUAUUAGUGGGGGACAACAUUCCGAAAGGAAUGCUAAUACCGCAUACGUCCUACGGGAGAAAGCAGGGGACCUUCGGGCCUUGCGCUAAUAGAUGAGCCUAAGUCGGAUUAGCUAGUUGGUGGGGUAAAGGCCUACCAAGGCGACGAUCUGUAGCGGGUCUGAGAGGAUGAUCCGCCACACUGGGACUGAGACACGGCCCAGACUCCUUCGGGAGGCAGCAGUGGGGAAUAUUGGACAAUGGGGGGAACCCUGAUCCAGCCAUGGCCGCGUGUGUGAAGAAGGCCUUAUGGUUGUAAAGCACUUUAAGCGAGGAGGAGGCUACUAGUAUUAAUACUACUGGAUAGUGGACGUUACUCGCAGAAUAAGCACCGGCUAACUCUGUGCCAGCAGCCGCGGUAAUACAGAGGGUGCGAGCGUUAAUCGGAUUUACUGGGCGUAAAGCGUGCGUAGGCGGCCAUUUAAGUCAAAUGUGAAAUCCCCAAGCUUAACUUGGGAAUUGCAUUCGAUACUGGAUGGCUAGAGUAUGGGAGAGGAUGGUAGAAUUCCAGGUGUAGCGGUGAAAUGCGUAGAGAUCUGGAGGAAUACCGAUGGCGAAGGCAGCCAUCUGGCCUAAUACUGACGCUGAGGUACGAAAGCAUGGGGAGCAAACAGGAUUAGAUACCCUGGUAGUCCAUGCCGUAAACGAUGUCUACUAGCCGUUGGGGCCUUUGAGGCU
rnacentral:rRNA from 1 species